GGAAUUGUUCACAAUGGGCGCAAGCCUGAUGACGCAACGCCGCGUGGGGGAUGAAGGUCUUCGGAUUGUAAACCCCUGUCGAAUGGGACGAAUGGCCUCUGGGCUAAUCACCGGAGGAAUGACGGUACCGUUAAAGGAAGCCACGGCUAACUCUGUGCCAGCAGCCGCGGUAAUACAGAGGUGGCAAGCGUUGUUCGGAAUUACUGGGCGUAAAGGGCUCGUAGGUGGCCAACUAAGUCAGACGUGAAAUCCCCAGGCUUAACCUGGGAACUGCGUCUGAUACUGGCUGGAUUGAAUUCGGGAGAGGGAUGCAGAAUUCCAGGUGUAGCGGUGAAAUGCGUAGAUAUCUGGAGGAAUACCGGUGGCGAAGGCGGCAUCCUGGACCGAGAUUGACACUGAGGAGCGAAAGCUAGGGGAGCAAAC
rnacentral:rRNA from 1 species